ACACUUUGGCAGCACGUGUACUAAAAUUGGAACAAUACAGAGAAGAUUAGCAUGACCCCUGUGCAAGGAUGACGUGCAAAUUUGUGAAGCAUUCCAUACUUUU